CAGGAUGAACGCUAGCGACAGGCCUAACACAUGCAAGUCAGGGGCAGCACAAGGAGCAAUCUGAGGUGGCGACCGGCGCACGGGUGAGUAACACGUAUGCAACCUGCCUGUAAGCGGGGAAUAACCCGUUGAAAGACGGACUAAUACCGCAUAAUACUAAAUUACUGCAUGGUAAUUUAUUUAAACAUUUAUGGCUUACAGAUGGGCAUGCGCAUGAUUAGCUAGUUGGAGAGGUAACGGCUCCCCAAGGCAACGAUCAUUAGGGGUUCUGAGAGGAAGGUCCCCCACACUGGUACUGAGACACGGACCAGACUCCUACGGGAGGCAGCAGUGAGGAAUAUUGGUCAAUGGACGAGAGUCUGAACCAGCCAAGUCGCGUGCAGGAAGAAUGUCCUUAAUGGAUUGUAAACUGCUUUUGCAGGGGGAAUAGAGUGCAUCACGUGUGAUGUUUUGUAUGUACUCUGCGAAUAAGGAUCGGCUAACUCCGUGCCAGCCGCCGC
rnacentral:rRNA from 1 species